rnacentral:rRNA from 1 species
AGGGAAUCUUCCACAAUGGACGCAAGUCUGAUGGAGCAACGCCGCGUGAGUGAAGAAGGUUUUCGGAUCGUAAAACUCUGUUGUUGGAGAAGAACACGUUUGAGAGUAACUGUUCAGACGUUGACGGUAUCCAACCAGAAAGCCACGGCUAACUACGUGCCAGCAGCCGCGGUAAUACGUAGGUGGCAAGCGUUAUCCGGAUUUAUUGGGCGUAAAGCGAGCGCAGGCGGUUUCUUAAGUCUGAUGUGAAAGCCCUCGGCUUAACCGAGGAAGUGCAUCGGAAACUGGGAGACUUGAGUGCAGAAGAGGACAGUGGAACUCCAUGUGUAGCGGUGAAAUGCGUAGAUAUAUGGAAGAACACCAGUGGCGAAGGCGGCUGUCUGGUCUGUAACUGACGCUGAGGCUCGAAAGCAUGGGUAGCGAAC